rnacentral:rRNA from 1 species
GGUGAACGCUGGCGGUAGGCCUAACACAUGCAAGUCGAACGGCAGCACAGUAAGAGCUUGCUCUUACGGGUGGCGAGUGGCGGACGGGUGAGGAAUACAUCGGAAUCUACUUUUUCGUGGGGGAUAACGUAGGGAAACUUACGCUAAUACCGCAUACGACCUACGGGUGAAAGCAGGGGAUCUUCGGACCUUGCGCGAUUGAAUGAGCCGAUGUCGGAUUAGCUAGUUGGCGGGGUAAAGGCCCACCAAGGCGACGAUCCGUAGCUGGUCUGAGAGGAUGAUCAGCCACACUGGAACUGAGACACGGUCCAGACUCCUAAGGGAGGCAGCAGUGGGGAAUAUUGGACAAUGGGCGCAAGCCUGAUCCAGCCAUACCGCGUGGGUGAAGAAGGCCUUCGGGUUGUAAAGCCCUUUUGUUGGGAAAGAAAAGCAGCAGGUUAAUACCCCGCUGUUCUGACGGUACCCAAAGAAUAAGCACCGGCUAACUUCGUG